GAAACGAGUUUUUUUAAGCUAAGAUAGCGAUGUAAGAUAUUAAAGGGAUAAAAAAUAUGCAAUAGUCAUCAACAUCCUACGUCUACUCGUUAAAAAUAUAAACUCGCAGCCAUUAAAAACACUACGUUAUUCGUCGUGAUUUAGCCCUACAUCAAGUCUACUUUCGAACCUGCACGUUACCGGAUGUUAAAAAAUAACUGUUACACGCCCAACCGAUCCGAUAUGGCACUUCGGGUUUGUAUCUAAUUCGUUUCUACAAUAUUAUUACCUCAAGAGGACGCUGUCGUACCCGGUGUCUCCGCGAUAUGCGAACCGAAUUUCGCGCAACAAAUUUUCGUUCAGCCGCAACAGCCCUGUGCCGUCGGUUUUAACGUGUCAGAGUGAAUUGACUU